GGCAUAUGGUAAGAGUUGCCUUCUCUAUUUCAUCCUAUUUCUAAAAGGCUUAUGUGGAGUUCAAGGUAGGGAUGAAAGGAGAUAGCAUACUUACUUUGCAUGUAUUGCGAAGUCAAAGCUCGGAUCCUUGAAGAGAAGUGUCAUACUCCCAGAUCAAGAUGUGCAAGUGUGAUAUAUGGUGGACUAGGUUGCUCCUUUAUUUGAUAGACUCUCUAUGUAUUGAGACAUGGCUAGCAUUUUUUCUUCUUCUUCUUUUUUUUCUAUAUAUGAGCUUUCAUGUGCUCAAUUUUCUUUUUCUGUGGACUUGCACAUGUCCAUCUUUUUAUUUCAUUUUUCCUAGCCUUUUGAUGUCUCAUUUACCAAAUAAUGCUUAGAGAGAUGUUCUAACAUUUAGAGUAUGGAGCAACCUAUUUAGUGGAUGCGAAAUACAUGUGGUUGCGUACUUCCAGUGUAGAAGCAGCAUAUAUACAUGUGGUGUGUACGUGAUUUAUAUCUUAGGAGCAUGAAAAGUCUCUUAACAAGGGUCAACAAGACUUGACGACACUCAACACAAAGCAAAUAGCUUAUGUGGAAAAGUUGCAAUUAUGUAAAGUAGAUAUGGCUGUGGUAGGAAUUCAUCACCAUUGAGGAACAAUUAAGGUUUUGAUCAUUUUAAGAAUAAAUCUCUGAUAAUCAUGCAUGCUUAGAAAAAUAUUAUAGUAGCUCUUGCCUUACUAUCUCAUGUCCCACAACAACUUAGACUUAGUUCUAGCACUUGCAACCCACAAAGUUUUUAGGUUCAUGGCAGUUUAAGUGAGCUAAGUGAUCCAUACUUAGAGAAAUACUAAGUUGUAUACUAGGCACUAGAGAAACAUUAACAAGCAACUGGUCAUAAUUUCCAUGAGGGAUAUAAACAUACAUGAAGCAUAUAUGCUAAAGGGAAAUGCUAAUAAAUAUUUAUUUAUUUUUAAGUAAGAAUGAUAAAAUGCAUGAAAAUAAAUAGGAUAGAAUACUUACCUUAGUGGGGGAGAGGAUCUCCCCCAAGCUAGAUCUUCGCUCACUGUGGUG
rnacentral:lncRNA from 1 species